rnacentral:rRNA from 1 species
UACGUAGGGGGCAAGCGUUGUCCGGAUUCAUUGGGCGUAAAGAGCGUGUAGGCGGCCCGGUAAGUCCGCUGUAAAAGUCAAAGGCUCAACCUUUGAAUGUCAGUGGAUACUGCCGGGCUAGAGUCCGGAAGAGGCGAGUGGAACUCCUGGUGUAGCGGUGGAAUGCGCAGAUAUCAGGAAGAACACCAACGGCGAAGGCAGCUCGCUAGGACGGUACUGACGCUGAGACGCGAAAGCGUGGGGAGCGAACAGG